CUACGGGCGGCACCAGUGGGAAAUAUUGGACAAUGGGGGAAACCCUGAUCCAGCAAUGCCGCGUGUGUGAAGAAGGCCUGCGGGUUGUAAAGCACUUUCGGUUGGGAGGACUGCUUCUAGCACUAAUAUUGUUGGAAGUUGACGUUACUUUCAGAAGAAGCACCGGCUAACUCCGUGCCAGCAGCCGCGGUAAUACGGAGGGUGCAAGCGUUAAUCGGAAUUACUGGGCGUAAAGCGCGCGUAGGCGGCUAGAUCAGUCGGGUGUGAAAGCCCCGGGCUUAACCUGGGAACUGCAUCCGAUACUGUCUAGCUUGAGUACAGGAGAGGAGAGUGGAAUUCCACAUGUAGCGGUGAAAUGCGUAGAUAUGUGGAGGAACACCAAUGGCGAAGGCAGCUCUCUGGCCUGAUACUGACGCUGAGGUGCGAAAGCGUGGGGAGCAAACAAGAUUAGAUACCCGCGUAGUC
rnacentral:rRNA from 1 species